GACGAACGCUGGCGGCGUGCUUAACACAUGCAAGUCGAACGGAAAGGCCUCUUUCGGGGGGUACUCGAGUGGCGAACGGGUGAGUAACACGUGAGUAACCUGCCCUUGACUUUGGGAUAACUUCAGGAAACUGGGGCUAAUACCGGAUAGGAGCUCCUGCUGCAUGGUGGGGGCUGGAAAGUUUCGGCGGUUGGGGAUGGACUCGCGGCUUAUCAGCUUGUUGGUGGGGUAGUGGCUUACCAAGGCUUUGACGGGUAGCCGGCCUGAGAGGGUGACCGGCCACAUUGGGACUGAGAUACGGCCCAGACUCCUACGGGAGGCAGCAGUGGGGAAUAUUGCACAAUGGGUGGAAGCCUGAUGCAGCAACGCCGUGUGCGGGAUGACGGCCUUCGGGUUGUAAACCGCUUUCGCCCAUGACGAAGCUUUGUGUGACGGUAGUGGGUAAAGAAGCACCGGCUAACUACGUG
rnacentral:rRNA from 1 species